rnacentral:rRNA from 1 species
AUUGAACGCUGGCGGCAGGCCUAACACAUGCAAGUCGAACGAGUCGCGGACGUGUGAGCUAUGUCUGGGACACUGCCCGAUGGAGGGGGAUAACCACUGGAAACUGUAGCCUACACCGUACACCAUCGCCUGUGCCCAGGUGGUACUAUCUAGUAGGUGGGGUAACGGCUAACCUAGGCCACGACCCCUAGCUGGUCUGAGAGGAGGACCAGCCACACGUGAACUGGGACACGGUCCAGACUCCUACGGGAGGCAGCAGUGGGGAAUAUGGCACAAUGGGCGAAAGCCUGAUGCAGCCAUGCCGCGUGUAUGAAGAAGGCCUUCGGGUUGUAAAGUACUUUAAGCGAGGAGGCGUUACUCGCAGAAGAAGCACCGGCUAACUCCGUGCCAGAAGCCGCGGUAAUAC